GAGAGGCUGGACAUGGUAGCUU
rnacentral:miRNA from 1 species